AUGAACACAAUGGCUUCCUUGGCUCUUCUGAACUGGAUGGCAGUGCUCCUUAUACGUGACUCAAGCUGUCAGAUUGUUCUGACUCAGUCUCCAUCAGCCCAGUCUCUGAGUUUGGGGCAAACAGUGUCCAUCAACUGUAAUACGUCUAGCUCUGUUAGCAAUGAUGUGAAAUGGUACCUUCAGAAACCUGGCCAGGCUCCACAGCUCCUAAUAUGGGAGGGUAAUUACCGGCAGUCUGGGAUUCCUGAAAGGUUCAGUGCUCAAUACUCUGGGACCAGCUUCAACCUAACAAUCAGCUGCUUCCAGCCUGAAGAUGUAGGACAUUAUUACUGUCAGCAGGACUAUCAGCGUCCUUUCACACAGUGAUAAAGAGUCGUACAAAAACUUCCUUUAUGAAGCUGCUGGUGUUGAAAAGGAGGAAGUCUUUUAUUCAAUUUGACACAAAAUAUUAACACUGUUUACAGUCUUGAGACCCCUUCUAAAAAUCCCUAAACGACAGAUCAUGUAGAAAAUUGGCUUCGUUUUUUGAUUACAUUAAACUAUAUUUGAUCAGGAAGCUGUGGAUCAUAAGAAAGCAAAGAUUAAAAGGUGAUAUGACCCAGGUGUUUUAAAUUAUAAUA